AGGCCUAUACGCCCGAUCCCACAUUACCGCCCUAGAGGACGUCGUUCCGCAGAGCCGAGACGGACUGGUCAGGAUUAAUACCAUUCAAUGUACGGAAUGAAAGUAAAACAGCAAAAGGAACAAGCAGAGAGAAAUAGUAUUCAAAUGUAUGAUUCGUGUAACAUGUUGCGUCAGUAAAACAUCAUUUGAUGCA